CAGAUUUACCCGCAAAAUGAAAAACGUUUGGAUGAUUAUCUUUGCUGUUAUUACAAUCAGUGCAAAUAUUGCGAUAACGAAAAAAGCAGAGCGCCUUGGUCGAGUAAAACUGCAUAAAAGUGCUAAAGCAACGUCUCCCGGGGACGAAAAGGACGCGGCAAAGAUCCUGGUGUACCGGAAUAACGGUAAGACAGUUAAU